AGAGUUUGAUCCUGGCUCAGGAUGAACGCUGGCGGCGUGCCUAACACAUGCAAGUCGAACGGACUUACAUUGAAGCCUAGCGAUAUGUAAGUUAGUGGCGGACGGGUGAGUAACGCGUGGGUAACCUGCCUUGUACUGGGGGACAACAGUUGGAAACGACUGCUAAUACCGCAUAAGCGCACAGCUUCGCAUGAAGCAGUGUGAAAAACUCCGGUGGUACAAGAUGGACCCGCGUCUGAUUAGCUGGUUGGUGAGGUAACGGCCCACCAAGGCGACGAUCAGUAGCCGGCCUGAGAGGGUGAACGGCCACAUUGGGACUGAGACACGGCCCAAACUCCUACGGGAGGCAGCAGUGGGGAAUAUUGCACAAUGGGGGAAACCCUGAUGCAGCGACGCCGCGUGAGUGAAGAAGUAUUUCGGUAUGUAAAGCUCUAUCAGCAGGGAAGAAAAUGACGGUACCUGACUAAGAAGCCCCGGCUAACUACGUGCCAGCAGCCGCGGUAAUACGUAGGGGGCAAGCGUUAUCCGGAUUUACUGGGUGUAAAGGGAGCGUAGACGGUUUUGCAAGUCUGAAGUGAAAGCCCGGGGCUUAACCCCGGGACUGCUUUGGAAACUGUAGAACUAGAGUGCAGGAGAGGUAAGUGGAAUUCCUAGUGUAGCGGUGAAAUGCGUAGAUAUUAGGAGGAACACCAGUGGCGAAGGCGGCUUACUGGACUGUAACUGACGUUGAGGCUCGAAAGCGUGGGGAGCAAACAGGAUUAGAUACCCUGGUAGUCCACGCCGUAAACG
rnacentral:rRNA from 1 species